rnacentral:rRNA from 1 species
GGCGGACGGGUGAGUAAUAUAUCGGAACGUGCCCAGUCGUGGGGGAUAACUGCUCGAAAGAGCAGCUAAUACCGCAUACGACCUGGAGGGUGAAAGCGGGGGAUCGCAAGACCUCGCGCGAUUGGAGCGGCCGAUAUCAGAUUAGGUAGUUGGUGGGGUAAAGGCUCACCAAGCCAACGAUCUGUAGCUGGUCUGAGAGGACGACCAGCCACACUGGGACUGAGACACGGCCCAGACUCCUACGGGAGGCAGCAGUGGGAAUUUUGGACAAUGGGCGCAAGCCUGAUCCAGCCAUGCCGCGUGCGGGAAGAAGGCCUCGGUUGUAA